UGAAACCUUUCUUGUGAACUAUAGACGCAAGAGACUGCAGACACUGGAAUAUGGAGCAAAGAAUAAACUGCCGGAGGAAAUCAACAGGUCAAGCAGCAUCUGUGGAGGCAGAGAAAUGUUCAAUGCUUCAGUCUGCCUGAAAGAUAUCUUCGCUGGUCAAGCCUUUUCUCAGGUGUCUGGCGAAGCAGGUGGAAAUGGGAAAUAUUGAUGAUGGUAAUCAUGAAGGGUGAAAGACUGGAGCUGGAAGAAAAUGACUCAUUGAUGAUUCAUUGAGCAGUGGAUCACAGGAAGAUGCUGUCUGAUCUGCUGAGUUCCUCCAGCAUCAUGUUUGAUGCUCCAGAUUCCAGCAUCUGCAGUCUCUUAUGUCUUCAUUUGUCUAAAGUUUAGCUGCUGAAUAACGGCCUGAGUGAGAGCGAGGAGAACUCGUGGACAACAAAACCAACGCAUCUUUAACAAAUAAAACAUCU